rnacentral:rRNA from 1 species
UAAUACGAAGGGGGCUAGCGUUGCUCGGAAUUACUGGGCGUAAAGGGCGCGUAGGCGGGUCGUCAAGUUGGGGGUGAAAGCCCAGGGCUCAACCCUGGAACUGCCUUCAAAACUGGCGACCUAGAGUAUGGUAGAGGUGUGUGGAACUCCGAGUGUAGAGGUGAAAUUCGUAGAUAUUCGGAAGAACACCAGUGGCGAAGGCGACACACUGGGCCAUUACUGACGCUGAGGCGCGAAAGCGUGGGGAGCAAACAGGAUUAGAUACCCUGGUAGUCCACGCUGUAAACGAUGAGAGCUAGUUGUCGGCAUGCAUGCAUGUCGGUGACGCAGCUAACGCAUUAAGCUCUCCGCCUGGGGAGUACGGUCGCAAGAUUA